AUUGAACGCUGGCGGCAUGCUUUACACAUGCAAGUCGAACGGCAGCACGGGUGCUUGCACCUGGUGGCGAGUGGCGAACGGGUGAGUAAUGCACCGGAACGUAUCCAAUAAUGGGGGAUAACGCACCGAAAGGUGUGCUAAUACCGCAUACGCCCUGAGGGGGAAAGCGGGGGAUCGAAAGACCUCGCGUUAAUGGAGCGGCCGAUGUCGGAUUAGCUAGUUGGUGAGGUAAAGGCUCACCAAGGCGACGAUCCGUAGCUGGUCUGAGAGGACGACCAGCCACACUGGGACUGAGACACGGCCCAGACACCUAUGGGUGGCUG
rnacentral:rRNA from 1 species